UAAUUUAUAAUAUUGAAUAUAAGCAUUCAAUAAAAUAUUUUAAUAUAUAUUAUUUAUAUAUAUUAUAAGCAUUCAAGGUCUCCCCAUUGUGGGAGAGCCUACGUCAUAAUUUGUGAUAGAUGGGGCCUGCGUUCGCGCGGCCCCUGC
rnacentral:snRNA from 1 species